GGGCCACUAGCUCAGCUGGAUAGAGUGUCAGCCUCCGGAGCUGAAGGUCGCAGGUUCGAAUCCUGCGUGGCUCGCCA
rnacentral:tRNA from 1 species